UCCCGUGUGGCUCAGUUGGUAGAGCAUGGUGUUUGCAACGCCAGGGUUGUGGGUUUGAUUCCCACGUGGGAC
rfam:Salmo salar isolate Sally breed double haploid chromosome ssa19, whole genome shotgun sequence.